rnacentral:rRNA from 1 species
UACGUAGGGGGCUAGCGUUGUCCGGAAUCAUUGGGCGUAAAGCGCGUGUAGGCGGCCCGGUAAGUCCGCUGUGAAAGUCGGGGGCUCAACCCUCGAAAGCCGGUGGAUACUGUCGGGCUCGAGUGCGGAAGAGGCGAGUGGAAUUCCUGGUGUAGCGGUGAAAUGCGCAGAUAUCAGGAAGAACACCCGUGGCUAAGGCGGCUCUCUAGUACGGUACUGACGCUGAGACGCGAAAGCGUGGGGAGCGAACAGG